rnacentral:rRNA from 1 species
CAGUAGCCGCGGGAAUACAGAGGGUGCGAGCGUUAAUCGGAUUUACUGGGCGUAAAGCGUGCGUAGGCGGCUAAUUGAGUCGGAUGUGAAAUCCCCGAGCUUAACUUGGGAAUUGCAUUCGAUACUGGUUAGCUAGAGUGUGGGAGAGGAUGGUAGAAUUCCAGGUGUAGCGGUGAAAUGCGUAGAGAUCUGGAGGAAUACCGAUGGCGAAGGCAGCCAUCUGGCCUAACACUGACGCUGAGGUACGAAAGCAUGGGGAGCAAACAGGAUUAGAUACCCGUGUAGUCCCUGUCUCUUAUAU